UUAACCUAUGAACCAGGAGGUCAUGGUUCAAUUACAGGCAAGGGCACAUGCCCUGGGUGCGGGCUUGAUGCCAGUAUGGGAUGUGCAGGAGGCAGCUGGUCGAUGUUUCUCUCUCAUUGAUGUU